UACCUCCGAAGAGGACAUGCUUGCUAGGAUAAUGAAAAUAAAGGAAGCAAUCAUGAUCUUACCUACAAGUGAAGAAUCCAAAGAAAAUAAAUUGGUCAGCCAAAAGCUUUCAGAUGACAUGGAAACAGCUAUUAAAAAUCUCCAAAAAAGAUUUUCAAGCUGCAGCAUGGAUCUCUACAGGGAGCUGGCAAUGAAAAUACUUAAGUCUAAAUUACAGCUACAUAUGGGGGAUUAUGGUCUGAUCCGUGAUUUCACCGCUGAAUGCUAUAAAGUGAGCUGUUUGAUGACUUUGCACAUUCCUCCACUUCAGCCUUCCUGGGAGUUCCAUACAAGUGGAGAAAGCAACAAUCAAGACAAAAUUCUCUUUCCAGCUAUUGUAAAUAGCUGGAAAAACAGUGCAGCGGAGCUGUAGCACAAAAACAUAAUUUACAGCUUUCAAUAUUCUUAUGAUGUGAUGAUGAACAUACAAUAAUACCCAUGCACAGAGGCUUCUGAAAGUCUCUUGACACAGUGCAGAUUUAUGAUGUGUGAUUUUUGUGGACAUCAUAUAACUUCAUUUUCUUUGCUAUUGUUUAAAUACAGCAUUAUAUUUACUCACAUGUUGCUCUCCCUCUUUAAGAUGAGUUUCUUUAAUUUUUAGUUUCAAUGGCAGCUAUUUACAUUGUUCAUGUUUUAGCUGCACAUAGAUCUUAAUUAAAGGUCUUUUGAACACAAGGUUGUGGUGUCAGAAGACUUAUAUUUAUUAAUGUUAAAUGCCACGUAUACUGUAUUAAAUCUGUUUUCUAAUAAUUAGUUCAAAUGUGAUUUUGCUUCUCAGUUGAAGGCUCCACUGAUAAAUGUAUUUAAUCUUAUACAAAUUGUUAGCAACAUCUUCCAGGGUAUAGCAGUACUGUAGACUUGGUGGGCAACAUCAGCUUAAACAUUGUAUGUUUGUAUGUUGUAUGGUUAUUUCUGUUUUGUUUUUUGUACUUUUAGCAAAUCAUGAUUGUAUAUUGCUAAAGACAUGUAUGCAAAUGUAUGUAUAACUUUUAUUAAAUAAUGGUAUUUCUGCUUA